GUGCUCACCUUAGCAGCACAUAUACUCAAAUUAGAACCAAAAUGAGAAAAUUAGCAAGGCCCUGUGCAAGGUGACAUGCAAAUUAGUGAAGCAUUCCAUAUUUUU